GGGUGUGAGGGCGAUCCGGCUUGCGACAUCUGUCACCCCAUUGAUCGCCAGGGUUGAUCCGGCCGGCGAGGCGGGUGUGGCCGUCCUCCCCUCCGCUCC
ensembl:misc_RNA 7SK 7SK RNA